rnacentral:lncRNA from 1 species
GAGAACUUUCUCCUUCUCUCGAACAAUAUUCUCAAUAGGUUCUCCACUAAACUUUGUUACUGCUGCUAUGCCUCCAUCAACCUGCCUCAAUGUGAUUGCUUCCUCAUUCGGAGCCGGUAAACUGUUCAAACAAAUUCUUUUUAUUUAUAUACAGUAUUUGAUAGAAAACUGAGUGGUUUUAUUGGAGCUCCCUAAUUAACUCCUAAGAGACCCCCAAUUUUGACACUGGCUGUCUCCCUUGCCAAGUAGGGUUCAGCUUCAAAGGUUGUAACCUGAUGCAAUUUGGUGAACUUCACCUGCUCAAAUCUUUUUCUGAUGGCAGAACUAUCUGGAUAGACACUUUGGAUGUUUCAGCAUCAACUGCCUGAGUAAACACAGGAGUAGUCAUGGGUAUCUUUUCCUCUGCUGCGUUCUUCCCAAAAAUAUACCUGUGAGAAAAGAUUAAGGAGCUGACGGUAGGAACGAAAGCAAUUACCAAUCAAAUGAUAAACAAUGGAUUCAAACACCAAACCUCACCCAGCAACGGCAUUAAAACCACUUGAACCAGACAACUUGUCACCAUCUGUUUCGACGACUAUAAAAGGUUUGUACUUUCUCACCUGUAUUUAACGAUGGAAAGUUAGUUAUUACCCGGAGGGCUUGACAUUUAUAUCAGCAGGAUGGAAUUCCUUAGCUUCAACAAUGGGUCGGUUAGCAACAAAGGAAAUUUGAUUUUUCACGUAAGUUUUGUUUCAGAUCUGAAGAAUUAAAGCAAUGCCAGAUUUAACGGGUGCAAGUUAAGAACGCUGCUGCAUUCAGGGAAAAAACCACAGACCUCAUACGUAGCAGUUCUUUUUAGUAUCUGAUAUUUAGGCGUUUCUAACUCUGGAGUCUUGUAAAUCUGCAACUGUUAAAAUUGCAACCAUAUCAGUUACGGCUGCUUAAAAUUGGCAAUGGAAA